CUUCAGACAGGGUCUGUGAUGCUGCCAGGGGUCUUGCAAGCCAAAGUCCUUGUGCUUUAGCUCUGUUUUUUCUUACCGUGUUGUACAGCUGUGGCAGUCAGCUGCUCAUCAUCAUGUGUUUGUGUCUUUGGACUUCCUCAGCAUCAAAGCAUUCCCUCUGGCUGUUUACUGGAGUCUCUUCGGGUCUUUUCCUUCUGGUUACUCCUUCAGUGUGAGCCCAUACAAAUGUAGCCCCACUGCCUUAUUGCAGAUGCUCCUCCUCCCCAUGCUGACCAUUUGGCUUCUGGCUCAUAAAUUUUAGAGGGGAUGAAAAUCUCUGGGGCUCCAGCCCAAGGAAGCAGAGAUCCAAGAUAGCCUUUUGGACAGCACUGCCACAGCCAUCUGAAACCCACAUCCAUCUUACGCUGGAGGACUGCAUACACCAAACUGCACACACCACUUUUCUUCUAGGAGGUGGAUAACGGUAGGGAGCAUUCUGCCUGCUAAGGUGAGAGGUAGCUUCAUUUUCCACAUCUCUGGGACUCAUUAGAUACUGAAUUUGAAGCUGUUGCUGCAAGCAAUCCCAUAAGCCAAAUUAUUUUAGAUGUUGGUCAGUCCUGAGCUCAUCCAAAGACCACUGAAUGCAUCUUCACCUUUUGCAUCUGCUGAGGUGAAGUCACAGCCCACAGUAAAGGCUGUAACCUGGCUCUGAUGGGUCCUAACAAAGAUGGGACCAUUGGUGCUUAUGGAGGUUGUUUGCCCACGUUUUCUGUAGUUCAUUACAAAACUUCCCUGUUCCAACUCAGAAACCAUACAGAUUCCUAAUUGCAGCCAAGUUUGACCACAGAUACCAGAACACAGAUCAAUCGCUUUUCUCUUUCUUGAUGCAAAAAUGCCUCAGAGAGAUAAUAGCAAUAAGUCUUUGCUGACUGAUGGCAUUGUGUUGGCUUUGAGCAGCCCGUGGAUUGGCCAUCCUCCACUGCCAUUUCCUAAAAGCAGUAUUUUUCUGGUUGUUUAUCUUCCCCAG
ensembl:lncRNA